rnacentral:misc_RNA from 1 species
GUAUUGAUUCGCGCGUGAUCGCGCAAAGAACAUUCUACACUAGGGUGUUUGAUGUUAAAAACGUGAGCACCCCGCCCUCCGAGGAAGGGGGGGACGCACGCGGUGAUGCACAAAGGGGUGAGAUGGAUAUUUGUAUGUGAGAGCACUCGGGCGUGCACGACGAAAAGUCAGCGACAACCCGGGUACCCCCAUUGUACGAUAAUGAUCCUUCCGCAGGUUCACCUACGGAAA